GGGGGUGUGUGAGAGGGCGUGGAUUGAAUGUGGCGCUCUGGAAAAUUCGAUGAAUUAUCAAGUUAAAAGCAAACGUCUUGAAAUAAAUGAUGAAGGGACCAAUGCCAGGAAUACAACUCUAGUAGUGUCGCACUUUAUUGUUCAGAAUGUUCGCAGGACAUGCUACUGAGGAGAUGGGCCAUAGGUGAGUCCUUUCUGCCCAAGUGGUGGGAUAGGGCUUGGAUCAUUACACACCACCGUUGCUUCAGUCUACUGUCACUGUCAACAUCCCAGGAUAUAACAGGUUAUGUCCGGUCAGGUUUAUGAGAAUGGCUGGCACCAUGUGGGAAACAAUGACCAGGGCUCUCUUGACUUCAAGGCCUUCAAACCUCAACAGUAAAAAGUGACUGCAGUGGAUGAACAAAGGUGAAACAUCGAUGGGGCCAAAAUAAGAUUUCAGGGAUGGAUGGCGAAGGCUUCUUCCCAUACAGCCACAACAACAGCAGUGAGCAGGCAUACAGACCAGACCAGGGCACUUACCUUGCCAGAGAGAGAGAUUAGGGUUUAGGAAGUGGAGCAGGACAUUGAGAUGACAUGGCUAAAUUUAACGCAGUGCCCAGUGAAUGAUGGGUAUAAAUCGCUGACAGGAAGGAUUCCAGCUCCAGGUUGCAUGCAUCUUUAGUGACUGCAUGUCACUGAGAACACUGUCAACACAACACCACAUCACUGGAAGCACUGUCAACACAACACAGCACAUCACUGGAAGCACUGUCAACACAACACUGCACAUCACUGGAAGCACUGUCAAUACAACACUACACAUCACUGGAAGCACUGUCAACACAACACUGCACAUCACUAGAAGCACUGUCAAUACAACACUGCACAUCACUGGAAGCACUGUCAAUACAACACUGCACAUCACUGGAAGCACUGUCAAUACAACACUGCACAUCACCGGAAGCACUGUCAACACAACACUGCACAUCACUGGAAGCACUGUCAAUACAACACUGCACAUCACUGGAAGCACUGUCAACACAACACUGCACAUCACUGGAAGCACUGUCAAUACAACACUGCACAUCACUGGAAGCACUGGCAAUACAACACUGCACAUCACUGAGAACACUGUCAAGGCAACACUGCACAUCACUGGAAGCACUGUCAAUACAACACUGCACAUCACUGAGAACACUGUCAAGGCAACACUGCACAUCACUGGAAGCACUGUCAAUACAACACUGCACAUCACUGAGAACACUGUCAAGGCAACACUACACAUCACUGGAAGCACUGUCAAUACAACACUGCACAUCACUGGAAGCACUGUCAAUACAACACUGCACAUCACUGAGAACACUGUCAAGGCAACACUGCACAUCACUGAGAACACUGUCAAUACAACACUGCACAUCACUGAGAACACUGUCAAGGCAACACUGCACAUCACUGGAAGCACUGUCAAUACAACACUGCACAUCACUGAGAACACUGUCAAGGCAACACUACACAUCACUGGAAGCACUGUCAAUGCAACACUGCACAUCACUGAGAACACUGUCAAGGCAAGACUACACAUCACUGGAAGCACUGUCAUAACAACACUGCACAUCACUGAGAACACUGUCAAGGCAACACUACACAUCACUGGAAGCACUGUCAAUACAACACUGCACAUCACUGGAAGCACUGUCAAUACAACACUGCACAUCACUGGAAGCACUGUCAAUACAACACUGCACAUCACUGAGAACACUGUCAAGGCAACACUACACAUCACUGGAAGCACUGUCAAUACAACACUGCACAUCACUGGAAGCACUGUCAAUACAACACUGCACAUCACUGGAAGCACUGUCAAUACAACACUGCACAUCACUGAGAACACUGUCAAGGCAACACUACACAUCACUGGAAGCACUGUCAAGGCAACACUGCACGUCAUCGUCAAUAUAACACAAAUCUGUCUUUUCUUUAUACAGUGACUAGUUUAAAUUGUGCGUCAUGCAUACUGGGCAUUCAUUGCACACAAAUUGCCACCAGCUGUCUAUGAUGCAAAUAUGGAAUGGCCUGUAUAGGAUUUGCCUUAUAUAUUGGUAUUACAAUAAAGAAAUAGGAAUAUUCAUGUGUUAUAGGCAUUACCAUAUUAAAUGAAUCUUCCAUUACAAUUGAUUGAGAUCAUAGUUCUUACUGCACUACGCUCACUGCAUAUGUAUUGCAUUGAUUUGAUCUUGGUUCAGGUAGUACAUUAUAUACCAGUAGCAGGGGGAGGAACCUGAACCUGGCCUCAACCUGGUAAACCCUCACAUCAUUGGCCUCCUGCUUCUGUUCCAAGUGUUACUUUGUGCUGUGUUGUUUAGUCUGGGUAUCUACUGACUGAGAGGAGACCAGAUCUCUGAUCAGUACUCCUGCAUGUACCAUGUCUCCUCAGAGAACACAUUAGCCUAGACUGUACCAUGGUAAAUAAUAGUUUUAAACUAGUAAAAACGGACUUCUUCCAGACAGAAUAGAUCCUGUAGGUUCAGACUUACUCGUCAACCAAUUUUUUGUUGUCUCAUGGGUUUAAUAAUCAACACAUACAACUCCCAUG
ensembl:lncRNA